GGCAGCACAGAGGAGCUUGCUCCUUGGGUGGCGAGUGGCGGACGGGUGAGGAAUACAUCGGAAUCUACUCUGUCGUGGGGGAUAACGUAGGGAAACUUACGCUAAUACCGCAUACGACCUACGGGUGAAAGCAGGGGAUCUUCGGACCUUGCGCGAUUGAAUGAGCCGAUGUCGGAUUAGCUAGUUGGCGGGGUAAAGGCCCACCAAGGCGACGAUCCGUAGCUGGUCUGAGAGGAUGAUCAGCCACACUGGAACUGAGACACGGUCCAGACUCCUACGGGAGGCAGCAGUGGGGAAUAUUGGACAAUGGGCGCAAGCCUGAUCCAGCCAUACCGCGUGGGUGAAGAAGGCCUUCGGGUUGUAAAGCCCUUUUGUUGGGAAAGAAAUCCAGCCGGCUAAUACCUGGUUGGGAUGACGGUACCCAAAGAAUAAGCACCGGCUAACUUCGUGCCAGCAGCCGCGGUAAUACGAAGGGUGCAAGCGUUACUCGGAAUUACUGGGCGUAAAGCGUGCGUAGGUGGUUAUUUAAGUCCGUUGUGAAAGCCCUGGGCUCAACCUG
rnacentral:rRNA from 1 species